rnacentral:rRNA from 1 species
AACGAACGCUGGCGGCAUGCCUAACACAUGCAAGUCGAACGCCCGUAGCAAUACGGGAGUGGCAGACGGGCGCAUAACACGUGGGAACCUACCCUAGGGUUCGGAAUAACCGCGGGAAACUGCGGCUAAUACCGGAUACGUCCUCUGGGAGAAAGAUUUAUCGCCCUUGGAGGGGCCCGCGUCGGAUUAGCUAGUUGGUGAGGUAACGGCUCACCAAGGCGACGAUCCGUAGCUGAUCUGAGAGGAUGAUCAGCCACACUGGAACUGAGACACGGUCCAGACUCCUCCGGGAGGCAGCAGUGGGGAAUAUUGGACAAUGGGCGCAAGCCUGAUCCAGCAAUGCCGCGUGGGUGAUGAAGGCCUUCGGGUUGUAAGGCCCUUUUGGCAGGGACGAUGAUGACGGUACCUGCAGAAUAAGCCCCGGCUAACUUCGUGCCAGCAGCCGCCGUAA